AAUUUCAUCUGGAAAAGUCAUCAAUAAUAAUGUUGUAUAACUCAUCAAGAUCUAUAACUUUUAUUUUGAUCAUUUCUUUAUCCGAAAAAGUGAUUUAUAAGAUUGUUCACAAAAUGUAUUGGAUAGUUUUACAAGAGAAGUAUAUUUUGUGAAUAAUCUUAUAAAUCACUUUGUCGGAGAAAGAAAUGACCAAAAUGGAAGUUAUAGAUCUUGAUGAGUUAUACAACUUUGUUAUUGAUGACUUUUUUGGUUGAAAUU
rnacentral:pre_miRNA from 1 species